rnacentral:rRNA from 1 species
UACGGAGGGUGCGAGCGUUAAUCGGAAUAAUUGGGCGUAAAGGGCACGCAGGCGGGUUUUCAAGUGAGAUGUUAAAGCCCCGAGCUUAACCUGGGAAUAGCAUUUCAGACUGGGAGUCUAGAGUACUUUAGGGAGGGGUAGAAUUCCACGUGUAGCGGUGAAAUGCGUAGAGAUGUGGAGGAAUACCGAAGGCGAAGGCAGCCCCUUGGGAAUGUACUGACGCUCAUGUGCGAAAGCGUGGGGAGCAAACAGG